rnacentral:rRNA from 1 species
CGUAGGGUGCAAGCGUUAAUCGGAAUUACUGGGCGUAAAGCGUGCGCAGGCGGUUUUAUAAGUCUGAUGUGAAAUCUCCGGGCUCAACCUGGGAACUGCAUUGGAGACUGUAAGGCUAGAGUGUGUCAGAGGGGGGUAGAAUUCCACGUGUAGCAGUGAAAUGCGUAGAUAUGUGGAGGAAUACCGAUGGCAAAGGCAGCCCCCUGGGAUAACACUGACGCUCAUGCACGAAAGCGUGGGGAGCAAACAGGAUUAGAUACCCUGGUAGUCCACGCCCUAAACGAUGUCUACUAGUUGUCGGGUCUUAAUUGACUUGGUAACGCAGCUAACGCGUGAAGUAGACCGCCUGGGGAGUACGGUCGCAAGAUUA